AGGCCUAAGUUUUGGUGACACUAAAAUUCCCAUAAGUAAACAGAAUGAGACCAAUAGAGUUUGUGGUAUGCAAGAGAACAAUCUUUUGAAAAGCUUAAAUGUAGAAAAGGAUAAAACUAGUUCAUUUGCAAUAACUGAAGCCCAGGUACACCUUUUUUAAUUCCCCAUGGUUAUAAAUCUUGCAUUAUGUUCAAUUAUUUGCUCUACUAUUUCAAAAGAUUAAUGUUGUCAAUUUGUCAUAUGGUAAGAGACUAUAGUUGAAGAAUGAGAAAGAUGUCAUCGACACUCUUGGAAACUCUCUCAAUGUUCAUAAAAAAAAUUAAAAGCGAGUCUAUUCUAUCGUUCGUAACUAAUUAUCAUCUUCCUUCUUGAGUCGCUUCCCCCCAAUUCCUUGUUUUAGCGAUUGUUACAACUUGCAACUAAGUAUUUUUAAUGACUUGUGCUCUAUGUUGUUGACUUGCGUGUAGGGUUUGUACGCAAUUACUAAAGCUGAUGUUUACUGCAAAAUUAAAAAGCUUGGAUAGGUUGACUUGACCGAAUACGUGGACAUCUAAACUUCCUUAAAUGGCUCUGAGGCUGUGGUUGAAGAAAUUGAGCCAAGUGAAUGACCUUGAUAUAUAUUUUCAUUGUUUAGAUGAAUAUACAUUUGAUUAAUAAUAUAUUCUUUUGUUUGGUAUUUGUGAAGUUUGGAAACUUGCUAUUUGCAAGAGUUUGUAAUACAUGAAUUAUUAUUAGUGAUAUAAAAAUUGUUCAAUA